GCAGUAGCUCAGUGGUAGAGCAUCCGCUUGGCAUGCAAAAGGUCCCAGGUUCAAUCCCUGGUAUCUCCA